UGGGAGAUACAAUUCAAGUUGAGAUUUGGGUGAGGGCACGGCCAAACCAUGUCAGAAAGGGAUGAAGUGACAGCAUAUCCUGAUGUGUGUGAUGGUUUCAUGAGUUAUUAUCUAUUUCAAAAUUUAUUGCAAUGUGUGGAAAAGAACAAGGACUUGUACUAUCUGACUUUAAGGUUUACUAUAAGCUAUUAGACACAAGGCAUCAAGAGUGACAAACGGAUAAACAGCCUGAGUUAGAAAACCUGAAAUUGAUCCACAGCU
rnacentral:lncRNA from 10 species